rnacentral:rRNA from 1 species
AGAGUUUGAUCCUGGCUCAGGAUGAACGCUGGCGGUAUGCUUAACACAUGCAAGUCGAACGGAGUACUUCGGUACUUAGUGGCGGACGGGUGAGUAACGCGUGAGAAUCUGCCUUCAGGUUCGGGACAACCACUGGAAACGGUGGCUAAUACCGAAUGUGCAGCAAUGUGAAAAAUUUAUUGCCUGAAGAUGAGCUCGCGUCUGAUUAGCUAGUAGGUGUGGUAAGAGCGCACCUAGGCGACGAUCAGUAGCUGGUCUGAGAGGAUGAUCAGCCACACUGGGACUGAGACACGGCCCAGACUCCUACGGGAGGCAGCAGUGGGGAAUUUUCCGCAAUGGGCGAAAGCCUGACGGAGCAAUACCGCGUGAGGGAGGAAGGCUCUUGGGUUGUAAACCUCUUUUCUCAAGGAAGAAAAAAAUGACGGUACUUGAGGAAUAAGCAUCGGCUAACUCCGUGCCAGCAGCCACGGUAAUACGGAGGAUGCAAGCGUUAUCCGGAAUGAUUGGGCGUAAAGCGUCCGCAGGUGGCUAUGUAAGUCUGCUGUUAAAGAGUCUGGCUCAACCAGAUAAAGGCAGUGGAAACUACAUGGCUAGAGUGCGUUCGGGGCAGAGGGAAUUCCUGGUGUAGCGGUGAAAUGCGUAGAGAUCAGGAAGAACACCGGUGGCGAAAGNNCUCUGCUAGGCCGCAACUGACACUGAGGGACGAAAGCUAGGGGAGCGAAUGGGAUUAGAUACCCUAGUAGUCC